rnacentral:rRNA from 1 species
UGGGGAAUAUUGCACAAUGGGCGAAAGCCUGAUGCAGCGACGCCGCGUGCGGGAUGAAGGCCUUCGGGUUGUAAACCGCUUUUGAUUGGGAGCAAGCGAGAGUGAGUGUACCUUUCGAAUAAGCACCGGCUAACUACGUGCCAGCAGCCGCGGUAAUACGUAGGGUGCAAGCGUUAUCCGGAAUUAUUGGGCGUAAAGAGCUCGUAGGCGGUUUGUCGCGUCUGGUGUGAAAGUCCAUCGCUUAACGGUGGAUCUGCGCCGGGUACGGGCAGGCUAGAGUGCGACAGGGGAGACUGGAAUUCCCGGUGUAACGGUGGAAUGUGUAGAUAUCGGGAAGAACACCAAUGGCGAAGGCAGGUCUCUGGGUCGUCACUGACGCUGAGGAGCGAAAGCGUGGGGAGCGAACAGGAUUAGAUACCCUGGUAGUCCACGCCGUAAACGGUGGAUGCUGGAUGUGGGGCC